UGAGGAAUAUUGGGCAAUGCCCGCAAGGGUGACCCAGCAACGCCGCGUGGAGGAUGAAUGUCGUAAGAUUGUAAACUCCUGUUAGAGGGGAAGAAUAGUACCGGUUGGACCGGUAUAUGACUGUACCCUCAGAGAAAGCCCCGGCUAACUACGUGCCAGCAGCCGCGGUAAUACGUAGGGUGCAAGCGUUGUCCGGAUUUAUUGGGCGUAAAGAGCUCGUAGGCGGUUCGUCACGUCGGAUGUGAAAACCUGGGGCUUAACCCCGGGCCUGCAUACGAUACGGGCGAACUAGAGUUCGGUAGGGGAGACUGGAAUUCCUGGUGUAGCGGUGAAAUGCGCAGAGAUCAGGAGGAACACCGGUGGCGAAGGCGGGUCUCUGGGCCGAUACUGACGCUGAGGAGCGAAAGCGUGGGGAGCAAACA
rnacentral:rRNA from 1 species